UUGUUCUCGAAAGGAGGUAAAACCUGGGCAGAUGAUAAUUACUUUUAACUUUAGGGUAAAAUUAGAAGUUGUUGAUAGUUGGGCCUUGUGUUUUUAGAUUUGUUGAACGAGCCAGAUUAGUACCUGGUUAGACAAAAGUUAAAAGAGCAGGAGUAAAGUUAUGUUUAAACUGUAAGAAUAUUGGCAGGUCUUUAAAUUAUCUUUGGAGGCUGAGUAGUAAUUGAGAGCCCUCAUUAUCAACCUAUACUAUAGGCUCAUGUAUGAUCGUUUAUUUUAUCCUUAGGGGUUGUAAUAUUAGUUUAAUUGCUAUAAAAAUAGAUAUAUACUUGGUUGAUGUAUAGGAUUUAAUUUGGCCUACAAUAAUUUAUAAUAUGGAUAUUAACUGUAGAGGUUGUUUGAAAUUGUAAAAGACAGUAAGUUUCUUUUUAUGGA
rnacentral:rRNA from 1 species